UAGUAGCGGCGAGCGAACCGGAAAGAGCCCAGCUUGAAAAUCGUGGGGUUUUGCGUCACGAAUUGUAGUCUGGAGAAGCGUCCUCUGCAGCGGACCGGGCCCAAGUUCCCUGGAACGGGACGUCGGAGAGGGUGAGAGCCCCGUCGAGCUCGGACCCUGCUGCUCCACGAGGCGGUGUCGGCGAGUCGGGCUGUUUGGGAAUGCAGCCCUAAGUGGGUGGUAAAUUCCAUCCAAGGCUAAAUACUGGCAGGAGACCGAUAGCAAACAAGUACCGCGAGGGAAAGAUGAAAAGGACUUUGAAAAGAGAGUUAAAAAGUGCUUGAAAUUGCUGGGAGGGAAGCGAAUGGAGGCUGCGGGUGUGCCCCGGUUGGAUGCGGAACGGCGUGAGCUGGUCCGCCGCUCAACGCGGGGUGCUGGUCAGCGUGGGCUAUCCCGACGGGACAAGAGCUCGCUUUAUGUUGUUGGCCUAUGCCGUCGGGGUGGCCGAGGAAGGAAGCGCGCGCCUUCGGGCGGCCCUCGGGACCUGCGCGCUCGGGACGCUGGCGUAUUGAGCUUUCCAUCCGGCCCGUCUUGAAACACGGACCAAGGAGUCUAACAUGUAUGCAAGCCGGUGGGUGGCAAACCCAUGGAGGCGCAAGUAAGCUGACAGGUGGGAUCCGCAAGGAGCACCAUCNACCGACCAUGAUCUUAUGUGAAAGGUUCGAGUGWGAGCAUACCUGCUGGGACCCGAAAGAUGGUGAACUAUGCCUGAGCAGGGCGAAGCCAGAGGAAACUCUGGUGGAGGCUCGUAGCGAUACUGACGUGC
rnacentral:rRNA from 1 species